CACAGUGACUGCCCUGGCUUUCUUUGCUUUGCCUCCUGUCUGUGUUUGAAAUCCCGAAAUCACCGCCUUGAGCUCUGAAGCCCAGCGGCUCCGAGGCUGCAAGCCUCUCCGCUGGCCCCAGAUGUGCAGCAUGCAGCUUGAAUCUCUGAGGACUCUGGUGGUGGAUGCCAACUCCAACUCACAGUGGGAAUCUGGCCCACAGGACCCAGCCUGCCACCCUCCAGGGAGCCGUGGAGAUUUCAGGAUUUCUCCUCUGCGAAAUGGGGAUAACAGCUCCCUCUUCAUCCGGUUAUGGUCAGGGCUGACCUAAGGGGGCUGAGGGUGAAGGCCACAGGCUGAGAAGCUCUUGCCAGUGGUCAGUGAGGAGCAGCAAAUUCGGGUCUUGGCACUUGAACUGUGGGAGGAUCAAUGCUGCUUGAAGCCAUCGGUUUCUGGGAAUUUGUCACAGCAGCCCAGGAAACACAUGCAGAAGGUUUGGAGAUUGGUCUUUCCGAUGACUAGGGUGCUUUGUGCCCAUUUCAACACUCUCUGCCCUCAGUGGCACAUUCAGACCACGUUGACUUGGGCAAUGGUGAGGGAAAUGCAAAGGAGUCACCCUCUUUGGUUUCUGAAAUGCGGACACACGUUACAAUGGAAACGAGCACUUGGGGCUCCCUGUCUCGGAAAAGUUGUUGAAUCAAUGCACGUUGAUUGCUUCAGCAAUCUAGGAAAUACUAUCCCAACAAAGCAAUUUGAAAUUCCAAACCUGUGACCACUGGACAAGAUCACCUUUCUCCCACUGAGAAGAAGAUCAGCGUUGGCUCGGGCCAAGUCUGGGAGACAGACAAGGCCUCCUUUCAACAUCGUGCCUCCAGGGGAACCAGGCCAAGUAUCGGCCCUCCAGAGACAGCUGCAGCCCUUGGAGGCCUCCCCACUGAGUCCACACCCCUGGCCCAGGGCACUCAGGCUAGCUGACCGGCCCUGCUCCCUGGCCAGCCUCAUUUCCUCCUGUUCUCUUGCUUGGUGCCCCUAGCAGCCGUCUUGCACCUGGCCACUGCUUCCCACGCCAGGGCCUUUGCCUUUGCUGUUCCCCUGCCUGGCAUGGUCUCGUCAUUCAGGGCUCAGCCUGAAUGUCACCUCCUCCUGGAAGCCUUACCCUCAUCUCGUUAUGUCCUACCCCAUCACCCUAUUUCUUUCCCUUGGGUCACCAGUAAGAACCUGGGUUGAGCUUGUGCAGCCGUCUCAUUGUCUUAGCCUCACGAAACUGUAAACCCUUUGACAAAAGGGAUCUGUCUGGUUUGUUUGACGUGUAACCCCAGCUUCCAGCCUAGCACAGAGAAAGCUCCAUGGAGACACUGACUGUCAGAUGACUGCAGACCUCCCCACAAGGAGGAGGGAAGCUGGCCUCCAAGGAGGCGCAUCCCACAGUGCAGUGGUCUCUGGCCAGGGUGGGUCAUUACGCCAUUGGUUUAUAGCGCCAUUUGCUUCGGCCCCUUUUGGUGGCAUCCCAGGGUUUAAAGUGACCAGGCAGCUAGUGUGGGGAGACGGGACACAGCUGUCUGAGGUCAGGGGGUCUGUAUGUGCCUCUCCGGCAGGGAACAGCCUCGGCCGUCAGAAGCCAGGUUUCAGCAUUUAGGAUGCAGCCAACAGCCAAAUUGCUUUCUUGGUUUUAUAUAUAAGGGCUUUUUUUGGUACCAUAAGGGCGGGUGGACAGGGCUGCCUUUGCUUCCUGGAGGGUCUGGUUCCUUUCGGGGAAGGUCUCAGUUGGCCACUGGAGUAACAGCACUGCGUCGGCCCAUGUGGCCAGCCAGCAUCCCUGUGCUCAUGGCUAAGGACAGGCUGUUACUCUGUUCUGCGGGUCUUGAAGUCAUUUGGUCAAGUGGACUUCAGAAGGAGAGAGAGAGAAGGACAGACAGCAUCCAUGGAGACUGCCACAGAGAAUGGAAAGAGAAUGGGAUCUGCAGUCUGAUGGGCUGGCAUAUCUCAGCAGCAGCAACAACAACACAAUAAUAUGGAAUUCAGUCCAGGCACGGUGGUUCCCGCCUGUAAU
rnacentral:lncRNA from 1 species